rnacentral:rRNA from 1 species
GAGGAAGGCGGGCGGCGUGCCUAAUACAUGCAAGUCGAGCGAACAGACGAGGAGCUUGCUCCUCUGACGUUAGCGGCGGACGGGUGAGUAACACGUGGAUAACCUACCUAUAAGACUGGGAUAACUUCGGGAAACCGGAGCUAAUACCGGAUAAUAUAUUGAACCGCAUGGUUCAAUAGUGAAAGACGGUUUUGCUGUCACUUAUAGAUGGAUCCGCGCCGCAUUAGCUAGUUGGUAAGGUAACGGCUUACCAAGGCAACGAUGCGUAGCCGACCUGAGAGGGUGAUCGGCCACACUGGAACUGAGACACGGUCCAGACUCCUACGGGAGGCAGCAGUAGGGAAUCUUCCGCAAUGGGCGAAAGCUUGACGGAGCAACGCCGCGUGAGUGAUGAAGGUCCUCGGAUCGUAAAACUCUGUUAUUAGGGAAGAACAAAUGUGUAAGUAACUAUGCACGUCUUGACGGUACCUAAUCAGAAAGCCACGGCUAACUACGUG